CCAACAUUUAUCAAGGAGUUUAUCCUGGGUGUAUGACAUUAUAGAUGAGCGAUGGAUUGGGGGAUUUAUUUGACAGAUUCAAGGAUGAGAAAAAAAACACUGAUAAUUGCAGUGUUAAGCUUAGCAUUUACUAUUACAUCUAUAACUGGACAAACAACUCCUGACAAUGUUACAACAACAGAACAAACAGCUACAACCACUGCCCCUGUUACAAUAACAGAACUUACAUCUACAACCGGAGAAACAGCUACAACAGAACAAACAUCUACAACCACUGACCCUCUUACAACAACAACAGAACAAGCAUCUACAACAGAACAUACAUCUACAACAGAACAAGCAUCUACAACAGAACAAACAGCUACAACU